rnacentral:rRNA from 1 species
GCAAGUCGAACGAUGAAGCCGAAGCUUGCUUUGGUGGAUUAGUGGCGAACGGGUGAGUAACACGUGAGUAACCUGCCCUGACUCUGGGAUAAGCCUGGGAAACUGGGUCUAAUACCGGAUAUGACUGCGGAACGCAUGUUCUGUGGUGGAAAGAUUUAUCGGUUGGGGAUGGACUCGCGGCCUAUCAGCUUGUUGGUGAGGUAAUGGCUCACCAAGGCGACGACGGGUAGCCGGCCUGAGAGGGUGACCGGCCACACUGGGACUGAGACACGGCCCAGACUCCUACGGGAGGCAGCAGUGGGGAAUAUUGCACAAUGGGCGAAAGCCUGAUGCAGCGACGCCGCGUGAGGGAUGACGGCCUUCGGGUUGUAAACCUCUUUCAGUAGGGAAGAAGCGAGAGUGACGGUACCUGCAGAAGAAGCGCCGGCUAACUACGUGCCAGCAGCCGCGGUAAUACGUAGGGCGCAAGCGUUAUCCGGAUUUAUUGGGCGUAAAGAGCUCGUAGGCGGUUUGUCGCGUCUGCCGUGAAAGUCCGAGGCUCAACCUCGGAUCUGCGGUGGGUACGGGCAGACUAGAGUGAUGUAGGGGAGACUGGAAUUCCUGGUGUAGCGGUGAAAUGCGCAGAUAUCAGGAGGAACACCGAUGGCGAAGGCAGGUCUCUGGGCAUUUACUGACGCUGAGGAGCGAAAGCAUGGGGAGCGAACAGGAUUAGAUACCCUGGUAGUCCAUGCCGUAAACGUUGGGCACUAGGUGUGGGGGACAUUCCACGUUUUCCGCGCCGUAGCUAACGCAUUAAGUGCCCCGCCUGGGGAGUACGGCCGCAAGGCUAAAACUCAAAGGAAUUGACGGGGGCCCGCACAAGCGGCGGAGCAUGCGGAUUAAUUCGAUGCAACGCGAAGAACCUUACCAAGGCUUGACAUGUUCCAGACCGGGCUAGAGAUAGUCCUUCCCUUCGGGGCUGGUUCACAGGUGGUGCAUGGUUGUCGUCAGCUCGUGUCGUGAGAUGUUGGGUUAAGUCCCGCAACGAGCGCAACCCUCGUUCCAUGUUGCCAGCACGUAGUGGUGGGGACUCAUGGGAGACUGCCGGGGUCAACUCGGAGGAAGGUGGGGAUGACGUCAAAUCAUCAUGCCCCUUAUGUCUUGGGCUUCACGCAUGCUACAAUGGCCGGUACAAUGGGUUGCGAUACUGUGAGGUGGAGCUAAUCCCUAAA